GUUUCCGAAGGUGAACCUGCGG
rnacentral:rRNA from 1 species